UGUUUGCAUUCCUUUGUUUGAACUUUGAGUCGCAGAAAUUUUGAGGAUUAAGACCAUCAGGUGAAGGGCAGGUCUAUAUCCACAAUUUCUAGUCUGAAUUGUGUUUGGUGGGCCUUAAUGAGAGAGUAGGUAGAACUCGAUGAACAACCAUUUAAAAUUUUAGCUUGUGCCAGAAUAAGGCAUCAUGGGUGAUGAUAUCGAGUCACUCAAGGAAGUAUUAUCUUGGACCUGUGGAACAUCACGUUUUUUGUGUUUCACACAUUGCAUUGCUUUAAAAUGUUAUGGAUUUGAAAACAGUCUAUGCCGCAAAUUCUAUAAUACUGUUGGUUGGCAUUACUCUUGAAUAUGCAUAAACUGACAUAAUGGUUAAAACUUUGUCAUAGAUGCUGCAAAAUUAAAUGCAUAUCUUUGUUGAUGUGAAAAUUUUCUGUUGCUUUUUAGGUCAUAUAGGCCUGGGAAUGUUUGUAUUAUAUUUUUACAUGUCCCUUUUGGUUUCAGUGCAAACGAGAAGGCUUUUUCCAAAAGGUCAAAGAUGAAGAAGGUGAAGGAUGUAAUAUAUAUGGAUCUCUGGAAGUAAAUAAAGUGGCUGGAAAUUUUCAUUUUGUACUUGGGAAAAGCCUUCAUCACUCAAACGUCGAUGUGCAAGAUUUGCUGGCUGUUAAAUCAUAUAGUUAUAAU
rnacentral:misc_RNA from 1 species